rnacentral:rRNA from 1 species
UACGAAGGGGGCUAGCGUUGUUCGGAUUUACUGGGCGUAAAGCGCACGUAGGCGGAUCGUUAAGUCAGGGGUGAAAUCCCGGGGCUCAACCCCGGAACUGCCUUUGAUACUGGUAGUCUCGAGUCCGGAAGAGGUGAGUGGAAUUCCGAGUGUAGAGGUGAAAUUCGUAGAUAUUCGGAGGAACACCAGUGGCGAAGGCGGCUCACUGGUCCGGUACUGACGCUGAGGUGCGAAAGCGUGGGGAGCAAACAGG